rnacentral:misc_RNA from 1 species
GAUGAAGAACGUAGCGAAAUGCGAUAAGUAGUGUGAAUCGCAGAAUUCAGUGAAUCAUCGAAUCUUUGAACGCACAUUGCGCCCCUUGGUAUCCCGAGGGGCAUACCUGUUCGAGCGUCAUUUCACCACUCAAGCCUGGCUUGGUGUUGGGCGACGUCCUCUUUGGGGACGCGCCUCGAAACGCUCGGCGGCGUGGCACCGGCUUUAAGCGUAGCAGAAUCUUUCGCUUUGGAAGUCGGGGCCCCGUCUGCCGGAAGACCUGCUCGCAAGGUUGACCUCGGAUCAGGCAGGGAUACCCGCUGAACUUAAGCAUAUCAAUAAGCGGAGGA